rnacentral:lncRNA from 1 species
CAGGACUUGCAUAGGAAUUGCAACACCUGUGGCCUAGACUGCCCCUCAAGUUCACUUAGGGCCCCAGAGCACUCCAGCACACAGUGGCAGGGCUUUUAUCAAGUCAUGCUGGGAUAGAUAAUUCUGUCUGGUUAGGGCCAGUCCAAAUGCUCCCUCUGUGGGCAGAUGUCAGCUGAGUACAGCCCAGUUCUGCUUUCCACUGUGAUGGGGCAGCACUGAGUUCAGUGCAAAACCUCAUAAUCACCACACUCUCCCUCUUCAAAGCACACAGAUUCUCCACACCAUGCAGCCACUUCUGAGGAAUGGGGAACAGGUGGCAUCAGCACUUCAAGACUGUCUUUCUUGCUCUCUUCAAUAAUUCUUUCACUGAUAGAAGUUAAAACCAGGUGCCUUUGCUUCCCCCAUCAAGAGGUAGAGUCUAUUUCUCUACCCCCUUGAAUAGGGGUGCUUAAUGUCCUGCUUUGAACAAUAAAUUGCAGUAGAAGUGAUGGUGUUAGUUCCAAGUCUGGACCUCAAGUGGCCUGGCAGCUUCUGCUCUCGCUCUCUUGAGACCCUGAGAACACUGUGUGGAAAAGUCCAGUCCAGCUGGCUGGAGGAUGAGAAAGCUUGUGGGGAGUAAGGUCCGGAGAAGAGCUGUCACCCAUAGCCAGGCAUGUAAGUGAGUCAUGUUGGAUCACUCAGCCCCAGUGGAACUGCCUGAUGACAGCAGUCACGAGUGUCCUCAGGAAAACCAACAGAGGAACAGCCCAGCUGAUCCCAGCCCAAACUGCUGACCCACAGAAUUAUGAGGAAAAACUUGUUGUAUUAAACCAUCAAAUUGUGUAGGUGCUUUUAAUGCAUAAAAAGAGUUUCUGAACUCUUCAUCGAGGGCUGUAUGGAUUUCCUGAGAACAAACAAGUCCAUCUUGGUGAAAGAAUCCACCUUCACUGAUGUGAAACUAAAGGUUGAGCAAGUUUACUUCUGGAGAAGAACGCUGUUGACAGGCUUACACAUGAUGAUGGAGCAAUGGAAAUAUUAAUGCUGGGUGAUUAACACAGACUCUACAACCGGUGAGUUCUCUUCAGAACCUGAGGACGACUGUUGCAAAGAAAUAAAAGCCGUGAUCAAAAUUUUCUGAUAUCUGGUGUCUAGAUUUAUGCAGGGACUUCUGGCCUGGCUCUGCCUACUCUCACCCCCAUGCCUUGACCUAGACUCCUGAUAGUUUCUGCUCAGAUCCAACACCAACCGAAGCAGUGACCCAGGAGUCUUCAAUGAGCAAUGCAGAACUGGAAAGCGUCUAAGCUUUGGAGUCAUCCUGAACCGAGUUUCAAUCCUGGCCCCACCACUCAUUAGCUAGGAGAUAAUACGUGAAACACAUAAUGGAAUGUCAAAACAAAUUAAUUUCCUGGUCCGGCUUGUAAAUACAGUACUUUGUGUAAGCAACAGCAAAAAACCAUGAAAAGUGAGAUCUUCGUGAUACUAAUUUCACUCACCCAUUCAACAGGUUGUUUUGUUUUUUUAGAAGAAGAUGGGGAUUUUCUGUUCAGCUCAAGCCCUCCAACCACGAGGCUGAAAGUGAGUACCUAUCUGCAGCCUGGAACUUGGGUAUUAGCAGCCAUGGUUCUGCACAGAGCCGUUCUCACCUCCUUGAACCAUGAGUCCUGCAGAGUGUCCUGAGAGGGGCUGGAUGUGUAAUUUCACCCUUCCCAGGUAAGUCACUCCAAGUACAUAGGCAGUCUUCCUUCCCUGUAGCCACACUUGAUGUCAGUCUGGUGUUUUUGGGGGGCCUUUCCCACUGCCCUCACUGCAGGCCAUUCUUGGAUCCAUCUCAGCCCAAUUCUGGAAGAGCAGUGCAAGAAAACAUUCUGGUGUCUUGUGAAACUUGUUCAGCUGGGAACUUGGCUACAAGGGUUGCUAUGGUAACCUAAGCAGCUGCACUUGGGGGAACUGUGCUUCCUGUUGGAGUGUGGGAUGUGUUUGUGUUUGCACAUGAACGUGUGUAGCACAGAGGAAAGGAAUGACAUCACUACCAAGAAGGGGCUAGUCAAUCCAUGUAAGGCCCUGGGAUUAUCCCAUAAGCCAUUUCCCUCAAGUCCACUCAAGUGUUCCCCCAGAGUCAAUUGCAAUUGUAAUUUCAUGACAGCAUGAAGCCAAUCCUUUUCAAAUUGUCUGCAUUAGCUCUAUGCUUGUGGAAAUCUUCUCCUCAAUGUGUGGUUCCUCCAAGUUUUAUCGGGAUAUAGUUGCCUCAUAAUCUUUCAGUCCAAUAAACCUGCAGGUAUCCACAGAUGGAUGAAUAGCAUGUGUAUUCUGCCUGUAAAUGUUGUUAAUGGCAGGUGACAGGGAUGCUGUGACUGCUUAUAAUAAUCGCGUUCAUCUUUGAAUGUUAAUUCACUUGAUCUUUUUGAAAUUAUAUCUAGAAUUUCUACAAAGCGUAUCAUCAAACAUGAUUUACAGAUUUUGGAUCUCAUGCAAUGUACUCAGGGUUUGUAAGAAGUUCGUCAUUCUCAGUGCUUCUUUGUAUAAUUAAAGAGCAAUGAGUAGUAUUACUUAAUAAAAUUUUAAACUCCCAAAUGUAAAAAGUCUGAAUCAUAUGCAACUGAAAAAAAAUGUGGAAGAAAUGUUACAUAUUAGAGAUGUUUAAAAUUAGAGACAAAGUGAAACCCUACACAGAUCCCUCUUCUCUCGGGUAUUAAUAAUAACAAUAAAU